rnacentral:rRNA from 1 species
CUACGGGUGGCAGCAGUGGGGAAUAUUGGACAAUGGGCGAAAGCCUGAUCCAGCCAUGCCGCGUGUGUGAAGAAGGCCUUCGGGUUGUAAAGCACUUUCAGUGGGGAAGAAAGCCUUGGGGCUAAUACCCUCGAGGAAGGACAUCACCCACAGAAGAAGCACCGGCUAACUCCGUGCCAGCAGCCGCGGUAAUACGGAGGGUGCGAGCGUUAAUCGGAAUUACUGGGCGUAAAGCGCGCGUAGGCGGUCUGAUAAGCCGGUUGUGAAAGCCCCGGGCUCAACCUGGGAACGGCAUCCGGAACUGUCAGGCUAGAGUGCAGGAGAGGAAGGUAGAAUUCCCGGUGUAGCGGUGAAAUGCGUAGAGAUCGGGAGGAAUACCAGUGGCGAAGGCGGCCUUCUGGACUGACACUGACGCUGAGGUGCGAAAGCGUGGGUAGCAAACAGGAUUAGAUACCCUAGUAGUC